CUCAGAGCCUGCGUGCAUGGGAGCUCUUCCAGGCUGAGGAGGAGGAGAUCUGACAUGAGGUUCCUCUACCAGUAAAAUCUUAGAGUGACUUCAAUUAAUUGCACAGGAUGGAAGACCAGAAUGAGAAAGAGCCUUUUGCUUCUGUCGAUAAGCCCUUGGUAGAGCCUCGUGUUAUGGCAACAGGAACUCUAUGGCAGCCCUUCUAGGUGUUGAGCAGCUCCUCUGAGAUCCUGAGUCUUCUGGCUGCCUGCUGAAGUCAACAGGAACGGGGGGCAGGGAGUCUCAGUAUCACAUACCUGUGUGCCCACCAGGAUGAAACUUGUCCCACCUCAAGCAGCCUCAAGCAGAGGAAAGCCUGGGAUUUUACUGCACCACCCUGAUACGGUGUGCCCCAAGCCCCAAAACAGGGACACUUGACUCAACCACUGUUUCAUAACCUGCUUAAGAAUAAAAACGCAUUGUGCAUUUGUGUGCAUUUCAUGCCCUCUUAAGGUAGGUAUAGCAAGUAACCUUGUGCAAGAAACCGCUUCCUUGCUUGCUUGCUUGCUUCCCUUUGCCUACCUAAAUGUGUUCCCUUCAAAUUUUAUCUGCCCAGAGACUCCUUUAACGAAUGCAGUACUAUCCAAUGCACCAGCUGGUUCAGUGGCAUCGUAUCGUGCACAAACAUCUGUGGAUCCAGAGUGCCGUCAGAGGAAAUGUCCUGUAUUGCCUGCUUGGAAGGACUGUCCCCCUUCCCUGGAGCCAUGGCCCAGAGACGGUGUCAAUGUCUCUGGUUCAUUUUUUCAGCCAGAGUCAAUGGCAUGUUCAUAUACUCAGACCUGUGCUGACAAACUCAGCCUAUGUUACUCAUUAAGUUCAAUGGGAUUAUCCUCAUGACAAAGGAGAUACAAGGCCAGUCAUUAUGUUUUCAUGUUUAACUUGUUGUACUUUGGUUUUGAAUCACAAGUGACUUUUUUAAGCUCCAGAGAGCACCUGUGAUGUGAUCUGAACUCAUCAGUUCUCUUUUAAUGGACCUAACUGGUCCAUUCAAGCAUUAUCGGGGAUCUCGUGGUAAUAUUGCAGGAGCUGGUUACAAUGGAAAUUCAUGUCGGCUCUCUGGAUGUGGGAGAAGAGCACAGAAAACCCCAGCCAAGACAGAUGAACUCCUCCAGCCAGCCAGGAAGGGACCACAUGCUUAAAGAUGCACAGAAUUUAUUUUAAAACUCCAAACUCAGUCUGGUGAAAAAAAAGGAGUGUUAAUCCCUAUAUAAUCAUGUCAUGAAAAAUAUUGCUAUUAAUAGGACAAAAGCGUGAACACUAGCUACCAUCCCUCUCUCUCGUGUACAUACAUCUUCAGGGAUGAAGAGUUUCACUAUGCCUACCUCCACUGCUAACAUUCCGGGGUUUCCAACCCAUUUCUAGAGCAAUUUACUCAGCAUCUGGUGCACAUCCAAUCUAAAUUUUGAAAAAGCAGCCGACCCAACCUGCUCCCACUUAAGUCAAUGACAA